GGGCGUAUGGUGUAGUGGUAUCACUCAUGCUUUGCAAUCAAACCCAGAUGUAUGCGGUCCAGGGUUCAAACCCCUGUGCGUCCA